GGGUUGUGAGGUUAAGCGACUAAGCGUACACGGUGGAUGCCCUGGCAGUCAGAGGCGAUGAAGGACGUGCUAAUCUGCGAAAAGCGUCGGUAAGGUGAUAUGAACCGUUAUAACCGGCGAUGUCCGAAUGGGAAACCCAGUGCAAUUCGUUGCACUAUCGUUAACUGAAUACAUAGGUUAACGAGGCGAACCGGGGGAACUGAAACAUCUAAGUACCCCGAGGAAAAGAAAUCAACCGAGAUUCCCCCAGUAGCGGCGAGCGAACGGGGAGCAGCCCAGAGUCUGAAUCAGCUUGUGUGUUAGUGGAACGGUCUGGAAAGUCCGACGGUACAGGGUGAUAGUCCCGUACACCAAAAUGCACAGGCUGUGAACUCGAAGAGUAGGGCGGGACACGUGGUAUCCUGUCUGAAUAUGGGGGGACCAUCCUCCAAGGCUAAAUACUCCUGACUGACCGAUAGUGAACCAGUACCGUGAGGAAAGGCGAAAAGAACCCCGGCGAGGGAGUGAAAAGAACCUGAAACCGUGUACGUACAAGCAGUGGGAGCACCUUCGGGUGUGACUGCGUACCUUUGUAUAAUGGGUCAGCGACUUAUAUUCUGUAGCAAGGUUAACCGUAUAGGGAGCCGCAGGAAACCGAGUCUUAACUGGGCGUUAAGUUGCAGGGUAUAGACCCGAAACCCGGUGAUCUAGCCAUGGGCAGGUUGAAGGUUGGGUAACACUAACUGGAGGACCGAACCGACUAAUGUUGAAAAAUUAGCGGAUGACUUGUGGCUGGGGUGAAAGGCCAAUCAAACCGGGAGAUAGCUGGUUCUCCCGAAAGCUAUUUAGGUAGCGCCUCGUGAAUUCAUCUUCGGGGUAGAGCACUGUUUCGGCUAGGGGUCAUCCCGACUUACCAACCCGAUGCAAACUACGAAUACCGAAGAAUGUUAUCACGGGAGACACACGGCGGGUGCUAACGUCCGUCGUGAAGAGGAAACAACCCAGACCGCCAGCUAAGGUCCCAAAGUCAUGGUUAAGUGGGAAACGAUGUGGGAAGGCACAGACAGCCGGAUGUUGGCUUAGAAGCAGCCAUCAUUUAAAGAAAGCGUAAUAGCUCACUGGUCGAGUCGGCCUGCGCGGAAGAUGUAACGGGGCUAAACCAUGCACCGAAGCUGCGGCAGCGACGCUUAUGCGUUGUUGGGUAGGGGAGCGUUCUGUAAGCCUGCGAAGGUGGCCUGUGAGGGCUGCUGGAGGUAUCAGAAGUGCGAAUGCUGACAUAAGUAACGAUAAAGCGGGUGAAAAGCCCGCUCGCCGGAAGACCAAGGGUUCCUGUCCAACGUUAAUCGGGGCAGGGUGAGUCGACCCCUAAGGCGAGGCCGAAAGGCGUAGUCGAUGGGAAACAGGUUAAUAUUCCUGUACUUGGUGUUACUGCGAAGGGGGGACGGAGAAGGCUAUGUUAGCCGGGCGACGGUUGUCCCGGUUUAAGCAUGUAGGCGGAGGUUCCAGGUAAAUCCGGUACCUUUUAACGCUGAGGUGUGAUGACGAGGCACUACGGUGCUGAAGUAACAAAUGCCCUGCUUCCGGAAAAGCCUCUAAGCAUCAGGUAACAUUAAAUCGUACCCCAAACCGACACAGGUGGUCAGGUAGAGAAUACCAAGGCGCUUGAGAGAACUCGGGUGAAGGAACUAGGCAAAAUGGUGCCGUAACUUCGGGAGAAGGCACGCUGGUGUGUAGGUGAAGUCCCUGCGGAUGGAGCUGAGACCAGUCGAAGAUACCAGCUGGCUGCAACUGUUUAUUAAAAACACAGCACUGUGCAAACACGAAAGUGGACGUAUACGGUGUGACGCCUGCCCGGUGCCGGAAGGUUAAUUGAUGGGGUUAUCCGUAAGGAGAAGCUCUUGAUCGAAGCCCCGGUAAACGGCGGCCGUAACUAUAACGGUCCUAAGGUAGCGAAAUUCCUUGUCGGGUAAGUUCCGACCUGCACGAAUGGCGUAAUGAUGGCCAGGCUGUCUCCACCCGAGACUCAGUGAAAUUGAACUCGCUGUGAAGAUGCAGUGUACCCGCGGCAAGACGGAAAGACCCCGUGAACCUUUACUAUAGCUUGACACUGAACAUUGAGCCUUGAUGUGUAGGAUAGGUGGGAGGCUUUGAAGCGUGGACGCCAGUCUGCGUGGAGCCAACCUUGAAAUACCACCCUUUAAUGUUUGAUGUUCUAACGUUGGCCCCUUAUCGGGGUUGCGGACAGUGUCUGGUGGGUAGUUUGACUGGGGCGGUCUCCUCCCAAAGAGUAACGGAGGAGCACGAAGGUUAGCUAAUCCUGGUCGGACAUCAGGAGGUUAGUGCAAUGGCAUAAGCUAGCUUGACUGCGAGCGUGACGGCGCGAGCAGGUGCGAAAGCAGGUCAUAGUGAUCCGGUGGUUCUGAAUGGAAGGGCCAUCGCUCAACGGAUAAAAGGUACUCCGGGGAUAACAGGCUGAUACCGCCCAAGAGUUCAUAUCGACGGCGGUGUUUGGCACCUCGAUGUCGGCUCAUCACAUCCUGGGGCUGAAGUAGGUCCCAAGGGUAUGGCUGUUCGCCAUUUAAAGUGGUACGCGAGCUGGGUUUAGAACGUCGUGAGACAGUUCGGUCCCUAUCUGCCGUGGGCGCUGGAGAAUUGAGGGGGGCUGCUCCUAGUACGAGAGGACCGGAGUGGACGCAUCACUGGUGUUCGGGUUGUCAUGCCAAUGGCACUGCCCGGUAGCUAAAUGCGGAAGAGAUAAGUGCUGAAAGCAUCUAAGCACGAAACUUGCCCCGAGAUGAGUUCUCCCUGAGACUAUAAGUCUCCUGAAGGAACGUUGAAGACGACGACGUUGAUAGGCCGGGUGUGUAAGCGCAGCGAUGCGUUGAGCUAACCGGUACUAAUGAACCGUGAGGCUUAACCUUACAACGCCGAAG
rnacentral:rRNA from 1 species